AUACAUGCAAGUCGAGCGGACAGAUGGGAGCUUGCUCCCUGAUGUUAGCGGCGGACGGGUGAGUAACACGUGGGUAACCUGCCUGUAAGACUGGGAUAACUCCGGGAAACCGGGGCUAAUACCGGAUGCUUGUUUGAACCGCAUGGUUCAAACAUAAAAGGUGGCUUCGGCUACCACUUACAGAUGGACCCGCGGCGCAUUAGCUAGUUGGUGAGGUAACGGCUCACCAAGGCAACGAUGCGUAGCCGACCUGAGAGGGUGAUCGGCCACACUGGGACUGAGACACGGCCCAGACUCCUACGGGAGGCAGCAGUAGGGAAUCUUCCGCAAUGGACGAAAGUCUGACGGAGCAACGCCGCGUGAGUGAUGAAAGUUUUCGGAUCGUANAGCUCUGUUGUUAGGGAAGAACAAGUACCGUUCGAAUAGGGCGGUACCUUGACGGUACCUAACCAGAAAGCCACGGCUAACUACGUGC
rnacentral:rRNA from 1 species